CAGCCGCCGCGGGAAUACCGAGGGUGCGAGCGUUAAUCGGAUUUACUGGGCGUAAAGCGUGCGUAGGCGGCUUUUUAAGUCGGAUGUGAAAUCCCUGAGCUUAACUUAGGAAUUGCAUUCGAUACUGGGAAGCUAGAGUAUGGGAGAGGAUGGUAGAAUUCCAGGUGUAGCGGUGAAAUGCGUAGAGAUCUGGAGGAAUACCGAUGGCGAAGGCAGCCAUCUGGCCUAAUACUGACGCUGAGGUACGAAAGCAUGGGGAGCAAACAGGAUUAGAUACCCGAGUAGUCCCUGUCUCUUAUAC
rnacentral:rRNA from 1 species